rnacentral:rRNA from 1 species
UCCGAAGGGUGCAAGCGUUAAUCGGAAUUACUGGGCGUAAAGCGCGCGUAGGUGGUUCAGCAAGUUGGAUGUGAAAUCCCCGGGCUCAACCUGGGAACUGCAUCCAAAACUACUGAGCUAGAGUACGGUAGAGGGUGGUGGAAUUUCCUGUGUAGCGGUGAAAUGCGUAGAUAUAGGAAGGAACACCAGUGGCGAAGGCGACCACCUGGACUGAUACUGACACUGAGGUGAGAAAGCGGGGGGAGCAAACAGGAGCGAUAACGGUAGUCC